rnacentral:rRNA from 1 species
UAGCGAAAGCUACGCUAAUACCGCAUACGAUCUACGGAUGAAAGCGGGGGGAUCGCAAGACCUCGCGCGAUUGGAGCGGCCGAUAUCAGAUUAGGUAGUUGGUGAGGUAAAGGCUCACCAAGCCGACGAUCUGUAGCUGGGUCUGAGAGGACGACCAGCCACACUGGGACUGAGACACGGCCCAGACUCCUACGGGAGGCAGCAGUGGGGAAUAUUGGACAAUGGGCGCAAGCCUGAUCAGCCAUGCCGCGUGUGUGAAGAAGGCCUUAGGGUUGUAAAGCACUUUCAGUGGGGAGAAAGGUCAUUCACCUAAUACGUGAGUGAAUUGAUGUUACCCACAGAAGAAGCACCGGCUAACUCCGUG